GAUCUCUCUGGCAUCAAUCAAGCUCAUAUUUCACUCCUACCCAAGAAGGACUCACCUCUGGAGCUGCGCGAUUUCAGGCCAAUUUCGAUUGUUCAUAGUGUCCCCAAGCUGGCUAGCAAGGUCCUUGCUCACAGACUACAGCUGCAAAUCCCUUCCCUGGUUCACCCUCUACAAUCUGGCUUCCUCAAGGGUCGUUCCAUAAUUGAGAACUUUGAUAUGGUUGCUGACAUGGUUCAAACAACCCACAAAAGGAAACUGCCUAUGGUGGUUCUCAAGCUGGAUUUCCAAAAGGCGUUCGACACUGUCAGCUGGGCAUGUCUCUUCAGCAUUCUUCAAGCCCGCGGUUUCCCUUCAAAAUGGAUCAGCUAG
rnacentral:rRNA from 1 species